ensembl:lncRNA
CUGGUCCGUUCUGAAUUUUCUUUUCAUGUCUGAACAACUUCUUGCUACUCACACAAUUUCCACUCAACCCCCACAAAUUAUACAUCAAAACGUAGGUAUUUUUGCUGGCUUUCAGAAAAUGUCACUAUCUUUAUUGUGAGGUUUACCGUUUUUUCGCAAUUUGCCUCGGAGUGACACAAGGUCUGACAAGUCCCCAUUCAAAGUCUAUGGGGAGGUUUUGAAAUUCAGAGCUGAAAUUCUGUAACGGGAGGCAUUUUCAAAUCGCCAUAUCUCUUGAACAAAGUAAAGUUAGGACAUGAGGCUUGUGCCAAUAUAUCUUCAGACACUGCUGACACUCACAGUGGAAGCAGUUUUUACAAUUAUCUUACCGUUGAGCAAUGAAUUACGUUUGUUUGAG